UAGCCAUGCGGCGGGAAAGGCCAGAGUCCUAAGUAUUUGUGACCAUCUUUCUGGCCCAGAACGGGAGUCACAUGGUUAGCUAAGAAUGAGAGGAUUUACAGCAUGCUGGGAGUAUGUUUUCCCACAACAGGUGUAGGGCCUAUUUCCAGAUGAGAAAACUGAGGCUCAGAGACAUUGGGCUCUCACCUAUUCAAGGCGACAUGCUUCAGGGAAGUGGUGAGCCCAAAGCUCAUUCCACUUAGACCAGCAGCCUCCCAAUGAGUGACUGAAGGGCAAGGCCGAGGCAUUUGCGCUUUGAGGCUCUACUUCUGUAUCCAGGUCAGACCCAGAAUGCCACGGUGCUGUAUAAAUGCU
rnacentral:lncRNA from 1 species